rnacentral:rRNA from 1 species
AGAGUUUGAUCCUGGCUCAGGAUGAACGCUGGCGGCGUGCCUAAUACAUGCAAGUCGAACGAACUUCCGUUAAUUGAUCAGGACGUGCUUGCACUGAAUGAGAUUUUAACACGAAGUGAGUGGCGGACGGGUGAGUAACACGUGGGUAACCUGCCCAGAAGCAGGGGAUAACACCUGGAAACAGAUGCUAAUACCGUAUAACAGAGAAAACCGCCUGGUUUUCUUUUAAAAGAUGGCUCUGCUAUCACUUCUGGAUGGACCCGCGGCGCAUUAGCUAGUUGGUGAGGUAACGGCUCACCAAGGCGAUGAUGCGUAGCCGACCUGAGAGGGUAAUCGGCCACAUUGGGACUGAGACACGGCCCAGACUCCUACGGGAGGCAGCAGUAGGGAAUCUUCCACAAUGGACGCAAGUCUGAUGGAGCAACGCCGCGUGAGUGAAGAAGGGUUUCGGCUCGUAAAGCUCUGUUGUUAAAGAAGAACGUGGGUGAGAGUAACUGUUCACCCAGUGACGGUAUUUAACCAGAAAGCCA